UACGUAGGGGGCAAGCGUUGUCCGGAAUUAUUGGGCGUAAAGAGCGUGUAGGCGGUCCGGUAAGUCAGCUGUGAAAGUCAAGGGCUCAACCCUUGAAAGCCGGUUGAUACUGUCGGGCUAGAGUCCGGAAGAGGCGAGUGGAAUUCCCGGUGUAGCGGUGAAAUGCGCAGAUAUCGGAAGGAACACCAAUGGCGAAGGCAGCUCGCUGGGACGGUACUGACGCUGAGACGCGAAAGCGUGGGGAGCAAACAGG
rnacentral:rRNA from 1 species